GAUGAAGAACGUAGCGAAAUGCGAUAAGUAGUGUGAAUUGCAGAAUUCAGUGAAUCAUCGAAUCUUUGAACGCACAUUGCGCCCCUUGGUAUUCCAUGGGGCAUGCCUGUUCGAGCGUCAUUUGUACCUUCAAGCUUUGCUUGGUGUUGGGUGUUUGUCUCGCCUUUGCGUGUAGAGUCGCCUUAAAAUAAUUGGCAGCCGGCGUAUUGAUUUCGGAGCGCAGUACAUCUCGCGCUUUGCACUCAUAACGACAGCGUCCAAAAGUACAUUUUACACUCUUGACCUCGGAUCAGGUAGGGAUACCCGCUGAACUUAAGCAUAUCAAUAAGCGGAGGA
rnacentral:misc_RNA from 1 species